rnacentral:rRNA from 1 species
UACGGAGGGGGCGAGCGUUAUUCGGAAUUAUUGGGCGUAAAGGGCGCGUAGGCGGCUGAACAAGUCAAAGGUGAAAUCCCUCGGCUCAACUGAGGAACUGCCUUUGAAACUGUUGGCUUGAGGCCGGGAGGGGGUAGCGGAAUUCCCAGUGUAGCGGUGAAAUGCGUAGAUAUUGGGAGGAACACCAGUGGCGAAGGCGGCUACCUGGACCGGUUCUGACGCUGAGGGCG